GGGAAACUGAGGGCUAAUAACGGAUAGUGCUCCCGAAGCUGGAAUGCUGGGAGCGCGAAAGCUCCGGCGCUGUUGGAUGUGGCUGCGGCCGAUUAGGUAGACGGUGGGGUAACGGCCCACCGUGCCGAUAAUCGGUACGGGUUGUGAGAGCAAGAGCCCGGAGACGGACUCUGAGACAAGAGUCCGGGCCCUACGGGGCGCAGCAGGCGCGAAACCUUUACACUGUACGCAAGUACGAUAGGGGGACACCGAGUGCGAGGGCAUAGAGCCCUCGCUUUUGUACACCGUAAGGUGGUGCACGAAUAAGGGCUGGGCAAGACCGGUGCCAGCCGCCGCGGUAACACCGGCAGCCCAAGUGAUGGCCGCUAUUAUUGGGCCUAAAGCGUCCGUAGCUGGCCGUUCAGGUCCGUCGGGAAAUCCACUGGCUUAACCAGUGGGCGUCCGGCGGAAACCGUUCGGCUUGGAACAGGGAGACCAGAGGGGUACGUCCGGGGUAGGAGUGAAAUCCCGUAAUCCUGGACGGACCAUCGGUGGCGAAAGCGCCUCUGGAGAACUGAUUCGACAGUGAGGGACGAAAGCUGGGGUCUCGAACCGGAUUAGAUACCCGGGUAGUCCCAGCCGUAAACGAUGCUCGCUA
rnacentral:rRNA from 1 species